rnacentral:tRNA from 1 species
GCCUCCGUAGCUCAGCGGAUUAGAGCAGUGGGCUUCUAUCCCACGUGUCGCAGGUUCGAGUCCUGCCGGAGGUACCA